ACACNUGCAAGUCGAGCGGGGUGAUGUAGCUUGCUACAUUACCUAGCGGCGGACGGGUGAGUCAUGCUUAGGAAUCUGCCUAUUAGUGGGGGACAACAUUCCGAAAGGAAUGCUAAUACCGCAUACGCCCUACGGGGGAAAGCAGGGGAUCUUCGGACCUUGCGCUAAUAGAUGAGCCUAAGUCAGAUUAGCUAGUUGGUGGGGUAAAGGCCUACCAAGGCGACGAUCUGUAGCGGGUCUGAGAGGAUGAUCCGCCACACUGGGACUGAGACACGGCCCAGACUCCUACGGGAGGCAGCAGUGGGGAAUAUUGGACAAUGGGCGAAAGCCUGAUCCAGCCAUGCCGCGUGUGUGAAGAAGGCCUUUUGGUUGUAAAGCACUUUAAGCGAGGAGGAGGCUACUUAGAUUAAUACUCUAGGAUAGUGGACGUUACUCGCAGAAUAAGCACCUGCUAACUCUGUGCCAGCAGCCGCGGUAAUACNNAGGGCGCCGAGCGUUAAUCGGAUUUACUGGGCGUAAAGCGUGCGUAGGCGGCUUCUUAAGUCGGAUGUGAAAUCCCUGAGCUUAACUUAGGAAUUGCAUUUCGAUACUGGGAAGCUAGAGUAUUGGGAGAGGAUGGGUAGAAUUCCAGGUGUAGCGGUGAAAAUGCGUAGAGAUCUGGAGGAAUACCGAUGGCGAAGCAGCCAUCUGGCCUAAUACUUGACGCUUAAGCUACGAAAGCAUGGGGAGCAAACAAGAUUAAAUACCCUGGAGUCCAUGCCCUAAAAGAUGUCUACUAGCCGUUGGGGCUCUUGACGCUUUCCCGGCCCUACCUACGCGAUAACUAGACGCCCUGGGGAGUACGUCGCUAGACUAAAACUCCAAUGAAUUGACG
rnacentral:rRNA from 1 species